GGGGUUGUGGCUCAACGGUAGAGCGUUCACCUAGCAUGUGUGAGGCACUGGGUUUGAUCCUCAGCACCACA
rnacentral:tRNA from 1 species